GAAGAAGGAAAAAGGGGGGAAAGAGAAAGAAAAGGGGGGACUUGGCUCUCUUCCCUCUCUUUCUUUGGUUGAAUUAGCUCGUCUUGUUUUUCACCGUUUUGGGCCUUUAAAAUCACUUGAAAAUGAUGUUCCUGUUCUUGAAAAAAAAUUCAGAAAAUACAAAGUCCGGGUCCCUGUUUGUGGGGGUGUCCUUCUUAAUUCUGAUUUAACAAGGUGUUUAAUGGUGAGGGGGUGUCAGCGAUCAUUGUGGUCAUUUCCUGCUGGAAAAAUUAAUAAAGA
rnacentral:ribozyme from 1 species